rnacentral:rRNA from 1 species
CGGCUACCUUGUUACGACUUCACCCCAAUCACCAACCCCACCCUCGACGCUUGCCUCCCCGAAGGGUUAGCCCAGCGGCUUCAGGUGUUGCCGACUUUCGUGGUGUGACGGGCGGUGUGUACAAGACCCGGGAACGUAUUCACCGUGCUGUGCUGACGCACGGUUACUAGCAACUCCCUCUUCAUGCAGGCGGGUUGCAGCCUACAAUCUGAACUGAGAUCGGGUUUGCUGGAUUGGCUCCCCCUCGCGGGUUGGCGUCCUUUUGUCCCGACCAUUGUAGCGUGUGUGUCGCCCAGGAUGUAAGGGCCGUGCUGACUUGACGUCAUCCCCGCCUUCCUCCACGUUGAUCGUGGCAGUCUCGUCGGACACCUGUAACCGACGAUGAGGGUUGCGCUCGUUGCGGGACUUAACCCAACAUCUCACGACACGAGCUGACGACAGCCAUGCAGCACCUGUGCCACCGUCCCUUGCGGGUACUCGUGUUUCCACGAGGUGCAAUGGCAUGUCAAACCCUGGUAAGGUUCUUCGCGUUGCAUCGAAUUAAACCACACGCUCCGCUGCUUGUGCGGGUCCCCGUCAAUUCCUUUGAGUUUUAAUCUUGCGACCGUACUCCCCAGGCGGACCACUCAAAGCGUUGGCGCCGGCACGGAAGGGGUCGAUACCUCCCACACCUGG